CCUCCUUUCCGCAGCAGUGGGGGAUAUUGCACAAUGGGGGAAACCCUGAUGCCUCGACGCCGCUUGUGCGAAGAAGUAUUUCGGUAUGUAAAGCCCUAUCAGCAGGGAAGAAGAAAUGACGGUACCUGAGUAAGAAGCACCGGCUAAAUACGUGCCAGCAGCCGCGGUAAUACGUAUGGUGCAAGCGUUAUCCGGAUUUACUGGGUGUAAAGGGAGCGCAGGCGGCACGGCAAGCCUGAUGUGAAAGCCCGCGGCCCAACCGCGGGACUGCAUUGGGAACUACCGGGCUGGAGUGCCGGAGGGGG
rnacentral:rRNA from 1 species